CGUCUCCAGCCCCAUCUUCCUCGCGAGGGAAGCAGGGCACGGGCGCCUGUCCCCGCGGGAGGCUCCUCGGCGCGGCCGGCGCUCAGGAGCUUGCCUAUCCCCUUUGCUGCCUUUGCCUCGGUGCAGCCGGGAGGGGUGGAAAGUGUCUGGGCCUCCAACUGAGGUAAGGAAACUGCUUUCAAAAGUCCCCCAACCACAAAGUUUUGCUGAGACGAUCCUCAGAACUGCAGUGUUUUUAUGUUUGUUUGUUUGUUUGUUUAAUCCAAAAUCCAGUUACAGAUUGCAGCAGCAGCAGGAAACGCGAAGACCUCGCCAAGGGCUGAGCUGUGGCUCACGCGGGCUCAGGAAGGGAAGUUGGAAGGAACACUGGGGAAGCAAAUUUUCUGUGACAGCUCUGGCGCCCAUGCCCGGAGUUGCUCAGUAUCCUUUGGCUUUAGUUGUUUUAGUUAGGAGGAGAGUGUGUAAAACCUGGCAGCAGGAUUAGCGAGGUAAACCACAUGUCAGCCUAGCAGACGCAGGACAAACAUAGGCUGUGGGAAAUUGAGGAGGAAAAAAAAAAAAAAAAAUCAGAGGAAAUCUCUGCAAAACCCCUGUUGUGAGCAAUUCAGAGGUUUCCCCACAUCUGCAAGUAGUUUCCAAAAUAGGUGAGAGGACUUCUCCUCCCCCAAAUUUCCAAAUGACUGUUGAUUAGGAGCCUUGCCUUUUCCAACUAAAUCCUGAACUGUCAUUUUAGCUGGGACUUGUAAAAAAUCUUCUGCUGCCUUUACAUUUUAAUUUAACUUUUAAAUGUCCCCUCUUUUCUGAGUUACCAUCAACAUACAGUCUAAUCUAGAGGAAAAUAUGAAGGUAAUCACAGGCGCACACAUGCAGUGUUUGCGCACACACACACACAUGUCCUUUGACAGGUAGACCUAGUCUUUGGUUAGGGGAUUUGACCAGGUUUUAUAUUUGUCUAAAAAAAAAAAAAAUUAGAGGCUAAAUUUAAGGAAGUAUCAUUUAUUUCCAACUUAAUUACCCAUCUUAAUGAUCAAUUAAUUCCAAUUUAAAUUAAGAGUAAAAGGAUGGGAGUACUGGGUCUGAUUCCAUGUUCCUGUCAAAGCUGAAGCUUUCUUAGAAGCCACUAGAGAUCUCAAACUUCUAACCCAGUUCAUAGAUCAGAGAGCAGAUCUGAAAAGAACAAGUUCAAUAAGCAGGUAGAAGGAUUUGGUUUUGAAAUGUCUUGCUGAGUCAUUCUCAAAUUCUUUUACCCACCAAAAAAAAAAAAAAAAAAAAGUUUGCAUAAUUAAUACUGGUGUUCCUCUAGUGCAGGGCUCAACAAGAAUGUAUUUUGCUUAGCCUAUUCGAAAGCCCAGGAAAUGCAGCUUUCCCUUAGAGGAUCCUUUUGAACUGCUGACAGUGUCCCCACUCCCUACUGCCAGACCUUUAAAAUAUCCCUUGUUAAUCUAAAUGAAUGCAAACUCUCUUUUUAUCAUAUACAAGUUUGCAAGAGUUUGGACCUGGCAUUUGCCUAAACAUCACUUAUUUUGCAGUAAUAAGUAUGUUUCCUUCAUUUGUCAUGAAAAAAAUCACCAUAUAUGGACAUCUGCCUCAUGUUUCCCUUACAAAUCCAGAGGUAGGAUGACUGACAUAGUAAAAUCUCAGAUCAAAAGAUGGACAUGUUUUUAUAGCUAAAAUACUUGCAGGGAAUACUCACAUCACAAUAUCCUAGGCCUCAACCACUGAUUUAUUUUUGAAUAUUAUUUUAAAAUAUUUAUUAAAUAUAGCUCUAAUUUUAUCAUAAUAAAAGAUCCACCCUUAAGCUUUAUUUCUAUAGUUGCCAUGAUUGCAUUCUAAAAUAGAUUUUGCCUUGUCCAUUGAAAAAUAUAAAUUUGCAAGGAUUUUUAAGAAAAUAUAAAAAACAAAAAUAUGCAUGUAAGAAAGGAGUUGAAUGUCCUGUCAGAAGAAUACAACCAUAGACAGGUGCCCUGUGUCAGUCCAAUCUCCUCGGGAAAUAAAAGGAGAUUGAGUCCUUGAGUUAGAUGUGUUGAAGAAACCUUGGCUUCUAGCUGGCAACUGUCUCUGAGUACCAUCACCACUUGCAGCAGAACUUCACUGCCCCCAGCAAUCCUAGGGAGAAAGCAACCCAAGAUAGCUGAGGGGCUGUUCCUUGGGUGUCCGCAGUCCUGCUAAAUCAUUGGACAAGUGUUGGGCAGUGGAAAACUGCAUGUCUUGGAAACAACCCAAAUGUCCAUCGACAGAUGAUUGGAUUCAGAAGAUGUGGUAUAUAUACACAAUGGAAUACUACUCAGCCAUAAAAAAGAAUGACAUAAUGCCAUUUGCAGCA